rnacentral:rRNA from 1 species
UGAUGCAGCCAUGCCGCGUGUGUGAGAAGGCCUUCGGGUUGUAAAGCACUUUCAGUCAGGAGGAAAGGUUAGUAGUUAAUACCUGCUAGCUGUGACGUUACUGACAGAAGAAGCACCGGCUAACUCCGUG